UGUUUUAGAGUUUAAUGGAAAAUGGCAAAAGAUUGAUAAGUUGUGUUGUUAUAUCAUAUACUAACAUGGUCAUAAGUGUUAAAAUUUGUUUUCAGACGUAAAAGUUUAUUAUGCUUUAUAUUUGUAUAUGUACAUAAAGACGACCAGAUUGUAUCCUCUUUAAUCAAUGAGUAACUUAAUCAAGAUUUCUUGAUCACUGUUUCAAGUGUAUAUUUUGCCAUUUAUAAGUAGAUCAACUGUAAAACAAUUGUAUUUUAAAUGUAAUGUAUUCAUGUAUUGUUGCCAUUUUUAUGUCCCCCACUAUAUUAGUGGGGGACAUAUUGUUUUUGCCCUGUCUGUUGGUUGGUUGGCCUGUUGGUUGGUCUGUUGGUUGGUCUGUUGGUUUGUACCAACUUUAACAUUUGCAAUAACUUUUGCAAUAUUGAAGAUAGCAACUUGAUAUUUGGCAUGCAUAUGUAUCUCAUGAAGCUGCACAUUUUGAGUGGUGAAAGGUCAAGGUCAUCCUUCAAGGUCAAAGGUCAAAUAUAUGGGUCAAAAUCGCUAAUUUAAUGUACACUUUUGCAAUAUUUCAAUAUUCAAGAUAGCAACUUGAUAUUUGGCAUGCAUGUGUAUCUCAUGGAGCUGCACAUUUUGAGUGGUGAAAGGUCAAGGUCAUCCUUCAAGGUCAGAGGUCAAAUAUAUGUGGCCAAAAUCGCUCAUUUCAUGAUUACUUUUGCAAUAUUGAAGAUAGCAACUUGAUAUUUGGCAUGCAUGUGUAUCUCAUGGAGCUGCACAUUUUGAGUGGUCAAGGUCAAGGUCAUCCUUCAAGGUCAAAUAUAUGGGUCAAAAUUGCUUAUGUAAUGUCACUUCUGCAAUAUUGAAGCUAGCAAUUUUAUAUUUGAAAUGCAUGUGUAUCUCAUGUAGCUGCACAUUUUGAGUGGUGAAGGAUCAAGGUCAAGGUCAUCCUUCAAGGUCAAACGUCAUAUAGGGGGACAUUGUGUUUCACAAACACAUCUUUUUUUCUACCGGUAUAUGAUGCCCAGCAAAGUACAUACAAAGUCUAUUACUGUAAGUUAGAAUUUGCCAACCAAGUAAUAGGAACAGUCAAUGUUUGGCUACAAAAUGAUCCUGAUGUUUUUUCAGUUAAUCAGUUACAUUAUUAGUUGGCAUCUGUAUUAUUGUGGUAUCUCUGCUAAAAAAUUGUGUGUGUAAUAGCAUGGCCCUCAAUCUAUCAGCCAAUUUCGGCUGCAGUCCCCCACCUGAAAAGUAUACUUUUUUCCCCUUUUGGGGGAAAGAAUUCCCCCUGAAAAAGAAUUUUUAUGUCCCCCACUAUAGUAGUGGGGAACAUAUUGUUUUUGCCCUGUCUGUUGGUUGGUCUGUUUGCGCCAACUUUAACAUUUUGCAAUAACUUUUGCUAUAUUGAAGAUAGCAACUUGAUAUUUGGCAUGCAUGUGUAUCUCAUAGAGUUGCACAUUUUGAGUGGUGAAAGGUCAAGGUCAUCCUUCAAGGUCAGAGGUCAAAUAUAUGUGGCCAAAAUCGCUCAUUUUAUGAAUACUUGUGCAAUAUUGAAGAUAGCAACUUGAUAUAUGGCAUGCAUGUGUAUCUCAUGGAGCUGCACAUUUUGAGUGGUAAAAGGUCAAGGUCAUCCUUUAAGGUCAGAGGUCAAAUAUAUGUGGCCCAAAUCGCUUAUUUUAUGAAUACUUUUGCAAUAUUGAAGAUAGCACCUUGAUAUUUGGCAUGCAGGUGUAUCUCAUGUAGCUGCACAUUUUGAGUGGUGAAAGGUCAAGGUCAUCCUUCAAGGUCCUCAUCCUUCAAGGUCAAAGGUCAAAUAUAUGGGUCAAAAUCGCUCAUUUAAUGUACACUUUUGUAAUAUUUCAACAUUCACGAUAGCAACUUGAUGUUUGGCAUGCACGUGUAUCUCAUGGAGCUGCACAUUUUGAGUGGUGUAAGGUCAAGGUCAAGGUCAUCCUUCAAGGUCAGAGGUCUAAUAUAUAUGGCCAAAAUCGCUCAUUUUUAAGGUCAUAUUUCAAGGUCAAAGGUCAAAUAUAUGGGAGGACAUAGUGCUUCACAAGCAAAUCUUGUUAUAAGAUAAACUCACUGUUAACAUUACUUUGUACAAGCCAUUGUUAUAAAAAACAUUUCUUGUGUCAAUGCUAAAAUAUGUAUUAAAUUGUUAAAAUAAUGCACAGUAACAACUUCUGAAGAGAAAAAUAUACUUAAGGCAAUAGAAACACAUUGUUAUAUGAAAUGCUUUUUAUUAAGAACACCUACUUAAAAUAUGUUUAAUUUUGUUUUACAUUAUCUGAAGAAAAAAUAGUACCUUGUAAUUUGAAAUCAGUCAAUGAAAAAUUAAGGGAGUGUUGCCAUAUGCUAACAAUAGUCAAGAAGUGCAAUUGUCUCUAUUGGUAAUACAACAGAGCAAUACAAUUUGCUUAAACAAGAUUACAGCAUAAAGGGUGCCAUUCUUGGCUACGGGUGCAGUUUUGAAUACCAACCAAGCAGUGGUCUAAUGGUAAGAUGCUGGCUUAGGGAUCGAGAGGUCCCGGGUUCGAAUCCCGCCCUGACCGCUGGAAUUUCCUUGAGCAAGAAAUUUAUCCCACAACUGCUCCUCUCCACCUAGGUGUAUAAAUGGGUACCUGUGAGGGAAAUAAGCCAAUGUGCCGUGACUGCAUACUGCGCCAAGAUGUUAACGGACGACUUAUGACCCAGUGAUCAGGGAAAAACUGUAAAGCGCCUUUGAACGCACAUCUCGAGUAUGAAAAGGGCGCUAUAUAAAUGUGGUAUAAAAAAAAAAGAAUAAAUGAAAGCUUAUCAGAAUUUAUUUGAGAAGUCACAGUGACUUGACCAUUGACCUAGUGACCCCAAAAUGGGUGUGGUGUGUAGAACUCAUCAAUGUGCAUCUACAUAUGAAGUUUGAAAGUUGUAGUUGGAAGCACUUUGAUUUUAGAGCCAAUGUUAAGGUUUUAGCACGACGCAGACGGCGGACGACACGACGAACUGGCUACGACAAUACCUCGGGUUUUCUCCGUUUAUACCGAGCUAAAAAUAAAAACUAAGAUGUCUGCUUUGCAAUUUCUUCAAAAAAUAGACACUUAUGAAUGUGCUUAUAUUAAACGUGAACAGUAUUGACAUAUUGCUUACGAUAACGUUUGACAUUUUAUUAGUUUUGUAAUAGCGUGUUUGACCUUUCGCAUUGACCAUCCCACAAUCCCACAUUUGCUUUCAGUGGGGCCAGUUUCUGUAAAUCUUCCACAACAAGUUCAGCAAAUGUUUUAUGACCAGAUUUCCUCAUAUUUGGGAGUGUUUAUAUUUAACUUUUAUUGAAUGCAUAAAACACGUUUGUUCUGUUUUUGAAUAGCUGAAAAUAGCUUGAUGUUUGUAAAUUGUGUGACAUGUUGAUCAAAUUGAUACAUAGAAAAAAACACAUUUUGCAUUUAUUUGUAUUUGUAGCUAAGCAACACAUGUUACCAAAUACAAAUUUAAGUAUUUGGUAUAAAUAUAUAAUGAUUUGCUAUAUUCGUAAUAUCGUAUGAAAUGCAAUUUUAAUUAUAAUGUGUUAAUAUGUUUGUCUACUCCAAAUAAUUAUUGUAUAUAAGUAAAUAUAGGGUAAAAAUGUCUAUGGAAAGUAUCCGUAGGCACGUUUCAAUUGCUUGUGUACCUCAUAUGGAUCAGGGUCUUUCUAAAUUAUUGCAUGAGUGUUAAUGCCUAUGUCUGAUUGUGUAAAUAUCUUCAAAUAUAUUUGUUAAGAGGAUUUUAAUAUUAAAAGAUAAACUAGUAUCUAAACUUUAACCGUGCAUCUUUUGCAUUUAUUUUAACGUGUUUAUAUUGUUUGGCUUACAGAGUUUAAUAUUGUCUAUAUUCGUGCGUACUUUUAUUGUGAUUGAUUUGGUAAGACAAAGUGCAUAUCACUAAUGCUGUUGUUUUUGUUUUAUGUUAUAUGUAAAUAAUUAAACAUGUUUAUUUUGGUGAUAUGUAUUUCCAAAUCUAAGUGUGUUGUUGCAUUCUCAAUAAAGUACAUAGCCAUACACGUGGAAUAGUAUUGCUAAGUGACAAUUUGUUGUCUUUACAAAUAAAAUCCGCAAGGAUUGUCGUUUCAAUUAUAUAUAGCUUUCCCCUAUUGAACCUGGGUAAAAACGUGACCGUGAGCUCAUUUUGUUUUAUGUUGACUGCCAAUAUAAUUAUAUAUAUAUAUAUAUAUAGAAAGAAAUUGCUCAAAAUGUGUAUCUUAUACCCUAGCGCUUUCGACUACACGUCUUCUUCAGGGGUGUAUACAGAUAUGAGUCCCCAGUGCGAAUGCACAAUAGAGGUUAACUUAUUGGCUUUCAGUCUUUGUUUUUUUUAGUUAUAUGUCGUUUUAUAUUUUUUAUUUUUUAUUUAUGCAUAUUAAAAUUGUGUUAUAGACUGACGCCCGUAAUAUAAUUUAUAUCGAUGUUAUAAUAAAAAAUAUUAUAAUAUGCAGUGAACGUUUUGCAUUCAGUAUUGUGUCAUAUUUAUGCCCCCCUUCGAAGAAGAGGGGGUAUAUUGCAUGUCGGUCUGUGGGUCCAUCCACCAGGUGGUUUCGGGAUGAUAACUCAAGAACGCUUGUGCCUAGGAUCAUGAAACUUCAUAGGUUCAUUGAUCAUGACUCGCAGAUGACCCCUAUUGAUUUUGAUGUCACUAGGUCAAAUGUCAAGGUCACGGUGACCCGAAAUAGUAAAAUGGUUUCCGGAUGAUAACUCAAGAACGCUUAGGUCUAGGAUCAUGAAACUUGAUAGGUAGAUUGAUCAUGACUCGCAGAUGACCCCUAUUGAUUUUCAGGUCUUUAGGUCAAAGGGCAAGGUCACAGUGAUCCGAAAUAGUAAAAUGGUUUCCGGAUGAUAACUCAAGAACGCUUAGGCCUAGGAUCAUGCAACUUGAUAGGUAGAUUCAUCAUGACUCGCAGAUGACCCCUAUCGAUUUUCAGGUCACUAGCACAAAGGUCAAGGUCACAGUGACCCGAAAUAGUAAAAUGGUUUCCGGAUGAUAACUCAAGAACGCUUAUGCCUAGGAUCAUGAAACUUCAUAGUACAUUGAUCAUGACUCGCAGAUGACCCCUAUUGAUUUUAAGGUCACAAGGUCAAAGGUCAAGGUCACGGUGACCCGAAAUAGUAAAAUGGUUUCCGGAUGAUUACUCAAGAACGCUUAUGCCUAGGAUCAUGAAACUUCAUAGGUACAUUGAUCAUGACUCGCAGAUGACCCCUAUUGAUUUUAAGUCACAAGGUCAAAGGUCAAGGUAACGGUGACCCGAAAUAGUAAAAUGGUUUCCGGAUGAUAACUCAAGAACGCUUAUGCCUAGGAUCAUUGAACUUGAUAGGUAGAUUGAUCAGGACUCGCAGUUGACCCCUAUUGAUUUUCAGGUCACUAUAUCAAAGGUCAAGGUCACGUUGACCCGAAAUAGUAAAAUGGUUUCCGGAUGAUAACUCAAGAACGCUUAUGGCUAGGAUCAUGAAACUUGAUAGGUACAUUGAUCAUGACUGGCAGAUGAGCCCUAUUGAUUUUCAGGUCGCUAGGUCAAAGGUCAAGGUCACAGUGACAUAAAACAUAUUCACACAAUGGCUGUCACUACAGCAGAGAUCCCAUAUGGGGGUCAUGCAUGUUUUACAAACAGCCCUUGUUAUUUUUCGUUUUAUGAUUAUGUACAUACACUUAUUAUAAUUCUGUGUUAUAAAAUGGCGCUUAAAAUGUUUAUUAUAUCGAUAUAACGUUUAAAUGAUUAAAAUGGAAGUUAGAAUUUA